GAUGAAGAACGCAGCGAAAUGCGAUAAGUAAUGUGAAUUGCAGAAUUCAGUGAAUCAUCGAAUCUUUGAACGCACAUUGCGCCCGCUGGUAUUCCGGCGGGCAUGCCUGUUCGAGCGUCAUUUCAACCCUCAAGCUCUCCGGAGUUUGGUGUUGGGGCGCCUGGGGCUUUUCGACCUCAGGGCCCACAAGUCCAUCGGCGGGACCGCCAGGACACUGAGCGCAGUAGUAUUAUUUCGCUCGGUAGGAUCUUCCACGGCGGGUCGAUCUGGCCGCUAAACCCCCCAAUUCUCACCAAAGGUUGACCUCGGAUCAGGUAGGAAUACCCGCUGAACUUAAGCAUAUCAAUAAGCGGAGGA
rnacentral:misc_RNA from 1 species